rnacentral:rRNA from 1 species
CCUACGGGAGGCAGCAGUGGGGGAUAUUGGACAAUGGGGGAAACCAUGAUCCAGCGACGCCGCGUGAGUGAACAAGUAUUUCGGUAUGUAAAGCUCUGUCAGCAGGGAAGAAAGCAAUGACGGUACCUUAGUAAGAAGCCCCGGCUAACUACGUGCCAGCAGCCGCGGUAAUACGUAGGGGGCAAGCGUUCUCCGGAAUUACUGGGUGAAAAGUGAGCGUAGAGGGUAGUUCAAGUCGGGGGUGAAAGGCGGGGGCCAAACCCAGGACUGCUCUGGAAACUGUGUAACUGGAGUGCAGGAGAGGAAGGGGGAAUUCCUAGUGUAGCGGUGAAAUGCGUAGAUAUUAGGAGGAACACCAGUGGCGAAGGCGGCCUGCUGGACUGUAACGGACGUUGAGGCUCGAAAGCGUGGGGAGCAAACAGGAUUAGAUACCCUUGUAGUC